rnacentral:rRNA from 1 species
GAUGAACGCUGGCGGCGUGCCUAAUACAUGCCAGUCGAGCGAACAGACGAGGAGCUUGCUCCUCUGACGUUAGCGGCGGACGGGUGAGUAACACGUGGAUAACCUACCUAUAAGACUGGGAUAACUUCGGGAAACCGGAGCUAAUACCGGAUAAUAUAUUGAACCGCAUGGUUCAAUAGUGAAAGACGGUUUUGCUGUCACUUAUACAUGGAUCCGCGCCGCAUUAGCUAGUUGGUAAGGUAACGGCUUACCAAGGCAACGAUGCGUAGCCGACCUGAGAGGGUGAUCGGCCACACUGGAACUGAGACACGGUCCAGACUCCUACGGGAGGCAGCAGUAGGGAAUCUUCCGCAAUGGGCGAAAGCCUGACGGAGCAACGCCGCGUGAGUGAUGAAGGUCUUCGGAUCGUAAAACUCUGUUAUUAGGGAAGAACAAAUGUGUAAGUAACUAUGCACGUCUUGACGGUACCUAAUCAGAAAGCCACGGCUAACUACGUG